rnacentral:misc_RNA from 1 species
GAUGAAGAACGUAGCGAAAUGCGAUAAGUAAUGUGAAUUGCAGAAUUCAGUGAAUCAUCGAAUCUUUGAACGCACCUUGCGCUCUUUGGUAUUCCGAAGAGCAUGCUUGUUUGAGUGUCAUGAAAAUAUCAACCUUGACUUGGGUUUUGUGCUCUAGUCUCGGCUUGGAAUUGGGUGCUUGCCGCUUUUACGAGCGGCUCACCUUAAAUGUAUUAGCUGGAUCUGUCUUUGAGACUUGGUUUGACUUGGCGUAAUAAGUAUUUCGCUAAGGACAUUCUUCGGAGUGGCCUCGUUUCUAGGACGCUUGUCCGCUUUCCAAUACAAGUUCCACCUCGUGGACAUGACUUUUUAUUAUCUGGCCUCAAAUCAGGUAGGACUACCCGCUGAACUUAAGCAUAUCAUAGCGGAGGA